CCUACGGGUGGCAGCAGUCGGGAAUCAUUCACAAUGGGGGAAACCCUGAUGGUGCGACGCCGCGUGGGGGAUUGAAGGUCUUCGGAUUGUAAACCCCUGUCAUGUGGGAGCAAAUUAAAAUGAUAGUACCACAAGCGGAAGAGACGUCGAACUCUGUCCCAGCAGCCACGGUAAUACAGAGGUCUUAACCGUGGUUCGGAAUACCUGCGCGUAAAGCGUGCGUAGUAUGUUUCGUAAGUAGUGUGUGAAAUGCGCCGGCUCAACCAGCGGACGGCACAUGAUACUGCGAGACUAGAGUAAGGGAGGGGUAGGCGGAAUUCUCGGUGUAGCAGUGAAAUGCGUAGAUAUCGAGAGGAACACGCGUGGCGAAGGCGGGUUCCUGGACAGUAACUGACGCUGAGGCACGAAGGCCAGGGGAGCGAAAGGGAUUAGAUACCCGAGUAGUC
rnacentral:rRNA from 1 species